AACGAACGCUGGCGGCAUGCCUAACACAUGCAAGUCGAACGAGACCCUCGGGUCUAGUGGCGCACGGGUGCGUAACGCGUGGGAACCUGCCCUUAGGUUCGGAAUAACUCCCCGAAAGGGGUGCUAAUACCGGAUAAUGUCUUCGGACCAAAGAUUUAUCGCCUUUGGAUGGGCCCGCGUUGGAUUAGCUAGUUGGUAGGGUAAAAGCCUACCAAGGCGACGAUCCAUAGCUGGUCUGAGAGGAUGAUCAGCCACACUGAGACUGAGACACGGCCCAGACUCCUACGGGAGGCAGCAGUGGGGAAUAUUGGACAAUGGGCGAAAGCCUGAUCCAGCAAUGCCGCGUGAGUGAUGAAGGCCUUAGGGUUGUAAAGCUCUUUUACCCGGGAUGAUAAUGACAGUACCGGGAGAAUAAGCUCCGGCUAACUCCGUG
rnacentral:rRNA from 1 species